rnacentral:rRNA from 1 species
AUGCAAUCUACCUUUCACAGAGGGAUAGCCCAGAGAAAUUUGGAUUAAUACCUCAUAGUAUGCAGAGUUGGCAUCAACACUGCAUUAAAGUCACAACGGUGAAAGAUGAGCAUGCGUCCCAUUAGCUUGUUGGUAAGGUAACGGCUUACCAAGGCAACGAUGGGUAGGGGUCCUGAGAGGGAGAUCCCCCACACUGGUACUGAGACACGGACCAGACUCCUACGGGAGGCAGCAGUGAGGAAUAUUGGUCAAUGGACGCAAGUCUGAACCAGCCAUGCCGCGUGCAGGAUGACGGUCCUAUGGAUUGUAAACUGCUUUUGUACGAGAAGAAACAACAUUACGUGUAAUGUCUUGACGGUAUCGUAAGAAUAAGGAUCGGCUAACUCCGUGCCAGCAGCCGCGGUAAUACGGAGGAUCCAAGCGUUAUCCGGAAUCAUUGGGUUUAAAGGGUCCGUAGGCGGUUUAGUAAGUCAGUGGU